UCUGGAAUUAGCGGGGCUGCUAAGAUCAUGGCCACAUCCUCGGUGUCCAAGGGCUGCUUUGUUUUUAAGCCAAACUGUAAGAACAAAAAGAUUUCUGUGCCAGUAGAAAACUAUUUUAAUAAAGGGAGAAAUGCGUCUGAGGACAGUAAGCUUCGAUUUGAAACUUAUCAGUUGAUAUGGCAACAGAUGAAAUCUGAAACUGAGCGGCUACAAGAUGAAUUAAAUAAAAACCUGUUUGACAAUUUAAUUGAAUUUCUGCGUAAGUCUCAUUGUGGAGUCCAGAAGAAUUCAAGAGAUUUAGGCUGUCAAAUAAAACUCAGAGAAAUUCCAAGCGCUGCUCUUGCUCUUGGUGUAAAUGUCACAGAUCAUGAUUUAACAUUCAGAAGUUUAACAGAGGCUCUUCAGGAUAAUGUUACACCAUAUGUAGUCUCAUUGCAAGCUAAAGAUUGUCCAGAUAUGAAACACUUUUUACAAAAGUUGUUCUCACAGUUGUUGGAGUGCUUUGCAGUUGUAAAAUCCAAAGAGGAGGAAAGUGUUCAGGUCACCCAGAAAAAGACACAUUGUUCAAUGGAUUCACUUUGCAGUUGGUAUAAGACUGUUACACAGAAGACAGACCCAGAAAUGCCUCCCAAAAGAGGACCACUACUAGCCAAUGGCAGUCUCCUCCUGUUGUGCUUGUCUUAAACGAUAUAGAAAGCUUCACCACGAGAGUACUCCGGGACUUCCUACAACUCAGUUUCCUUUUAAAAUAAGUGAAAAAGUGUUACAGGUUCUGACCAAUAUCUUUUUAUAUCAUGACUUCUCAAUUCAAAACUUUAUAGAAGGACUUCAGCUUUCUCUGUUAGAACAUUUCUAUUCCCAGCCCCUAAGUGUCCUAUGCUGUAAUCUCCCAGAAGCCAAAAGAAGAAUAAAUUUUUUAUCAAUUAAUCAAUGUGAAAACAUCAGACAUCUUCCAUCAUUUAGGAGGUAUGUGGACAAUCAAGCUUCAGAAAAGCAAGUUGCACUAUUGACCAAUGAGAGAUUUUUGAAGGAGGAAACACAAUCAUUAUUAGGAAAUGUACACAUUUACCAUAUGAAUUACUUCCUGGUUUUGAGAUGUCUUCGUAAGUUCACCUCUUCCUUUCCCAAGUACCCUCUGGGUCGACAGAUCAGAGAGCUGUACUGCUGUAUAGAAAAGAAUAUAUGGGAUUCAGAGGAGUAUGUGUCAGCUCUGCAGCUAUUGAGAAUGUUGGCAAAAGAUGAACUGAUGACCAUUCUUCAGAAUUGUAUCAACAUUUUUAAGUCUUCUGAAAAGUACCUUGGCAGCACAGCAAAGAGAUUAGAAGAGUUCCUGGCCCAGUUUCAGAGCCUUGAUGAUGCCAAAGAGGAAGAAGAUGCUUCGGGAUCAAAGCCAAGAGGGCUUCAAAAGACAGACCUCUAUCAUCUUCAGAAGUCUUUAUUAGAAAUGAAGGAGUUAAGAACAAGAAGUAAGAAGCAAACCAAGUUUAAUAGUUGGUUUGAAAUACUCAGAGAAAAUGUUGUGAACUUCAUUUACUGUCUAGUGAGAGAGUACCUUCCACCUCCAGAGACGCAGCCACUCCACGAGGCCUUGUACUUCAGUGCUGCCCACACCCUCCGCGAGCACCUGAAUGCCGCUCCGCGCAUCGCCCUCCACACGGCACUCAACAACCCUUACUAUUACCUAAAGAAUGAAGCACUGAAAAGCGAAGAAGGCUGCAUUCCGAAUACCACGCCAGACAUCUGCAUCGCGUAUAAGCUGUAGAUGGACCGGUCAGAGGCUUUUGCAACAGUUGUGACAGCUGCUGAAAAAAUGGAUGCAAAUUCUACCAUCUCAGAAGAAAUGAAUGAAAUUAUCCAUGCUCGGUUUAUUAGAGCUGUUUCUGAAUUAGAGCUUCUAGGAUUUAUAAAACCUACCAAACAGAAGAUUGACCAUGUGGCCAGGCAAACGUGGGGAGGCUGCUGAAAAGCAGAUGAAGAAGCCAGAGCUGUCUCACUCUCCUCAGAAGAGGGGAUGCGGACACAUCUAUACACAACUACAGGACACUAUUUCUGUGAGGAGAGAAAUGUGUAAUCCCUAUGUGAGGCUUAACAAGAAAGUACCCUGCUCACUCCAAACAGG